rnacentral:rRNA from 1 species
UGUUUCGGCAAGGGGGUCAUCCCGACUUACCAACCCGAUGCAAACUGCGAAUACCGGAGAAUGUUAUCACGGGAGACACACGGCGGGUGCUAACGUCCGUCGUGAAGAGGGAAACAACCCAGACCGCCAGCUAAGGUCCCAAAGUCAUGGUUAAGUGGGAAACGAUGUGGGAAGGCCCAGACAGCCAGGAUGUUGGCUUAGAAGCAGCCAUCAUUUAAAGAAAGCGUAAUAGCUCACUGGUCGAGUCGGCCUGCGCGGAAGAUGUAACGGGGCUAAACCAUGCACCGAAGCUGCGGCAGCGACGCUUAUGCGUUGUUGGGUAGGGGAGCGUUCUGUAAGCCUGUGAAGGUGUGCUGUGAGGCAUGCUGGAGGUAUCAGAAGUGCGAAUGCUGACAUAAGUAACGAUAAAGCGGGUGAAAAGCCCGCUCGCCGGAAGACCAAGGGUUCCUGUCCAACGUUAAUCGGGGCAGGGUGAGUCGACCCCUAAGGCGAGGCCGAAAGGCGUAGUCGAUGGGAAACAGGUUAAUAUUCCUGUACUUGGUGUUACUGCGAAGGGGGGACGGAGAAGGCUAUGUUGGCCGGGCGACGGUUGUCCCGGUUUAAGCGUGUAGGCUGGUUUUCCAGGCAAAUCCGGAAAAUCAAGGCUGAGGCGUGAUGACGAGGCACUACGGUGCUGAAGCAACAAAUGCCCUGCUUCCAGGAAAAGCCUCUAAGCAUCAGGUAACAUCAAAUCGUACCCCAAACCGACACAGGUGGUCAGGUAGAGAAUACCAAGGCGCUUGAGAGAACUCGGGUGAAGGAACUAGGCAAAAUGGUGCCGUAACUUCGGGAGAAGGCACGCUGAUAUGUAGGUGAAGUCCCUCGCGGAUGGAGCUGAAAUCAGUCGAAGAUACCAGCUGGCUGCAACUGUUUAUUAAAAACACAGCACUGUGCAAACACGAAAGUGGACGUAUACGGUGUGACGCCUGCCCGGUGCCGGAAGGUUAAUUGAUGGGGUCAGCGCAAGCGAAGCUCUUGAUCGAAGCCCCGGUAAACGGCGGCCGUAACUAUAACGGUCCUAAGGUAGCGAAAUUCCUUGUCGGGUAAGUUCCGACCUGCACGAAUGGCGUAAUGAUGGCCAGGCUGUCUCCACCCGAGACUCAGUGAAAUUGAACUCGCUGUGAAGAUGCAGUGUACCCGCGGCAAGACGGAAAGACCCCGUGAACCUUUACUAUAGCUUGACACUGAACAUUGAGCCUUGAUGUGUAGGAUAGGUGGGAGGCUUAGAAGUGUGGACGCCAGUCUGCAUGGAGCCGACCUUGAAAUACCACCCUUUAAUGUUUGAUGUUCUAACGUUGACCCGUAAUCCGGGUUGCGGACAGUGUCUGGUGGGUAGUUUGACUGGGGCGGUCUCCUCCUAAAGAGUAACGGAG